rnacentral:miRNA from 1 species
UUAUUCCUGGUGGUGGAAUGUAUCUCAGGGGUAGGGUGUUUGCCUAGCAUGUGCUCAUGAGGUCCUGGGUUCUAUCCCCCACACCAUGAGUAGGGGCCAUUAAAACAGUGU